UUCAAUCCAUCCUCGAAAAUUUCUAGUUGAAUUUUACCAUCUGCGCUGAUUGUUUCCUGUUUCCUGUUUCCAUUGGCUUCUUAGUUAUCUCGACCAACAUUGAUUACCUAAAAUGUUCUAAUUAGAUUUUUGGUUUCAGUUUCAUUUGUUGAAUUGGAUGAGUCGGUUUUCUUAGUAGCAUAGGUGCUUGAAGUUAAAAUGGAGAUAGCAGAACCUGCCUUCAAAUGAAAUAUGCAGCGCACAGACGCGAUAACUUAGCUGCGUCUUUGAGGUCAUUGUUCAAUGAGAGCUCAAGGUAAAGGAGCCAUGAUCCGAUAGGAAAACGCAAGAAAUGAUCAGCUAAGAAAGAAGACAAAGCCGGUAGUAGCAAUUGCUGUUCGCAUUACCGUUCUCUAACUCUAUCUGUAUACUGUAUGUACAAAUCAAGAAGCUGUUAAAUGUCUUGGUAUUGCUGUGCAACUUUAUACAAGACUCUUGCAGUAACUCUCCUACAGUCCUACUUAAGCUUUUUUUUUUU